rnacentral:misc_RNA from 1 species
AACGAGGCCGACCUGCGGCUGAGUUACCUGCGGAAGGAUCAUUACCGAGUGAGGGCCCUCCGGGUCCAACCUCCCACCCGUGUUUAACGAACCUUGUUGCUUCGGCGGGCCCGCCUCACGGCCGCCGGGGGGCACCCCGCCCCCGGGCCCGCGCCCGCCGAAGACACCUGUGAACGCUGUCUGAAGUUGCAGUCUGAGACACUAGCUCAAUCAGUUAAAACUUUUAACAACGGAUCUCAG